rnacentral:sRNA from 1 species
GGGACUGGGACGGGGGGGAUGAAUGGUGGUGGUGGAGGGUUUGGGUAUCCCCAAGGGACGUUUUAGAAAAGGGGAUGCCUUGUGUACAUUGUGUUUUCCGGGCCACCAAAAGAAAAGAAAAAAAAAAAAGCAAAAAAAAGGCAUUUGCCGUUGAAUUAGUAGAUGUUUUGUUUGGUUUUAUUCUUAUCAUAAUGCUUUGUUUUUAACGAUCACAUGUUACCGCAUUUCUGCAAGGAUUAGAAUUAGAAGAUGAAAAUCGGCACGUCGAGUGUCCGUGUUGAGCGCGAUAAUUGUUGAGCGGAUUGUCCUUGAACAAUAAUCCCUUAUGAAUGAAUGCAUUAAACGUCCAC